AAGAUAAACACUUAAAAGAGUCUAGAAUUUGAUUCCAAUCAAACUUAUAAUUCUUAUAUUCUUCGGGGGUUUCCACAACAAAAAUUGACCUCAGUGACCAUCUACGGGGCUCAUAAUGAUCCAUUGACGGUGCAAGUUACUUGUGUUGCUUAUUUUUCAGGUAUUCAAUGUCUUGUGCUCUGAACAUGUUGAGCAAGCAUGAACGUGCAUCAUACUGCAACAACUGUCGGGAAAACCAAUUGAAAAAGUUCACAUAAACAAGAUUCCGAUGUUUAUGAACGCAAGACCCCGAAAGGUAGCAGCUGUAACCGGUACCAGUAGUUUGAAAAAUGGUUGCUGCUGCCUCACGAUUUGGCAUUAGCUUGAAGAGCUCAUAAUACUACUAAUAUACUGAGUUUUGUUACAAACAGUAUGGUUUUUAAUUUUAGUGAUGAUCUUGGUCAUUUAACUUGAAGAAGGGAUUUAGAACUUGUCGAUAUAUCUGCCUGUAAUGUGCCAAACUACUCGGAACAGGAGAUGUCUUUGAGAUACAGCAGCACAAGCACAGAGAGAGAAGAGCUUUUUUUGGUUGCAGUUUUGUAUUAAUUUCACUGUAAUUUUAUUUUUUCUUUUACAUCAAGAAUCAAUAUGAAUGAUACUACUCUUUUGUGUCAA